CUGCGGCCGAGUAGCGUCUCAUGUUGGCUCGACUGAAAACGAUACAGAACAAUCACGAAAUGAAGACAACAAAAAUCGGCACUAUUGGCGCUGUUCUGGGAAUACAUUUCGGGGCGACAUAGCAAAAGUAACACACGUUUAGGUCGCGGCGCGUUCAAAACGAAGCAUAGAAUAAAUUUCGACGUACUUUUUGGCACCAGCGGGACACGCUCGGCUUGUCCUGCCAAGCGGCUGUUAGCUGACAGCUUCAGACAUCUACCUGGAAUUGAAGAAAUCUGCACCAAGACCCGUUGAGUUGUUAGCUGUGGUUGGAGACUGGAACUUCGGCGACGCGAAAAAGUUCGAAAAACGCGAAUCCUGUUGGUGCAUCCCCACUGAGGAGUGUCUCCGCACCGGUACGCCUAAACACGCGGGAAAACAGCCAGGCAGAAGCGCCAAUAACAUCAACAAACCGAGAGGGGAACCCGUGCCCGGUGAGCAGGGCGCGACGAGUAUCCGUGGGGGCUGGAUCGUGUUGUCCGAGUGGCGCCUACCAGGAAGCGUGGCUUGGACACGCAGGAGGUUCGAGUCCGGUGAGGAUGAAGCUGAAAUGUACGAUAUACGACGUGAUCAGCAGGCAAUUAUAGCGAUAUUCCGAUAUCCGUGCUACUAAGGACAAGUUGAAAAGGCGCCACCGAGAAGUACGCCUGGACUCAAGUCGCAAUGAUGGCGGACGGUGAGGGUAUCCAGUCGGCUGCUCGAUCGCGUGGAACUGCAUUUGCAUCUGCUGAGUGUGCACUGGAAGUCUGCAGUUGCCGCAUCCGACGCGUCAGCAGAAGCAGCAACAGGCGCAGGUUGACGAUAAGCCAGAGAGAGAACGAUGACAGCGACGAAGACGACGGCGAAGAUGAUGACAACAACAACAACAACAACAACAAGUACGGAUACGUACACGCACAAAACGAAGGACACGCACGUCACGCAUCCGCCAUGAGAGACAGAAAGAGAUAGAGAGUGACAGGACACGCGCACACGUCGGAACACGCACCAACGAGAGAUGGAAACAGACAGAGCGAGAGAUCACACACAAGAGACCGACAACGGCGGCAUCAGUAGUAGUAACAACGGUCACAGGUAUAAACAUACGGGAACGUAACACAGUAGUGGAGAAGUCGAGCGGGCGUAGGCAGAUAAAGGACAGCAGUGCGGUGAGGUAACGGAAAAAAAUGACAAAGAGAGAGAACAAGAAAGAGCGUGUAAGCGCAGAGAUCAUAACAAAUAAGAAAUCACAGACAAGAAAAGCGGAAGUCAGUCAUUCAGUCAAUUCGUCAAUGAACGAUAUCAAUUAGCUAUCAAUCGUCAGAGAAAUUCAGAUCUGUUGAAUCAGGGCGAGCGAGUCUGCAGACGUCUACCUAACCCAUCAGUACAGAGUCCUGCGCGAAUAUAAUUCACUUCUUUCUCUAUGAAACUAAUGCCAUUGUUUUUUUUGUGAUAUUUCGUCUAUCAUCAUCAUCACCGAUUGAUACAUCACCGAGGUUUGGUAUCUAACAAUCAUCAAUCCAUCAGUGGCUAUGACGAUCUAUUAAUCCGACGCCAACCUCAGUUGUAGUUAUGGGUCCAUAAUUGAUCUGUCAAUCUUUAAUCAAUAAUUUUUUUAUAAAGCAGUGAUUAAUUGGCUGACUAUUAUCGACCGGUUAGAAUCUCUCAAGCUCUUCCUUCUUUCUUUUCCUUGGUGGCUUGUGUUUCUGCAAGCCAUUCUGAAAUAAACAGAUACCAUUUCGUCUGCCCUUUUAGAGGAAUUUUAGAUGUGCUAUCAUUGUGCCACCGUAGAUUGAUGUGAUCACAACUACUGUUUAUGAUGUAGUGACAUGCAUUGUAAUAGAUCAGUUAUUAAUUCAUUCAUUCAUUCUAGCAGUCAUCUAUAAAACCAACAACUUGGGUCGAUCAAUCAAUAAUUCACCACUUAAUCAUUUUAAGAUCAAGCCCAAAAUCUCCUAUCGACUAUCAUAGCAAAUCGGGUCAGUCAGUUGUUUUUUUACCCAUUGCUCGGAUUGUAUUGUAAACACAAGCGCACAGGCUUUUGAGAGUUGGGAAGGCUUGCGGAGAGCCGUUUGAUAUGCUAUACGAUAGUAAUACUAAUGAAAAACUUCUGGUUUAGUAAGUUUUACCGGUGAAACGUACUCAAAAAGUCAGAGAGAAAACUACUAGAAGCGUUAACGCAGAAAGACACUUAUACUAAUGCUGGAGACGACGUUCCACUUUAACGGAAUGUAGGUAUAGGGACGCUGUAACGCUUUUGCACUCUAUCGUCGAUGGAAAAAUCGAGGAAACAACCCAAGUAGCGUGAUACACAAACUUUCCGUGACGUAACGGAAGCUUACGUCAACUGGAUGUGAACGGCGCCAUUUCGAUAGAGACAUGCUAUCCUCAACAAUCUUAUGGUCACGUUUACGAGGAUCAAACAUCAAAUUCACACGUAUGAGACAGCGGUUGCGUAAAUUAGUCAGGUAAACUUCCGACAGAUUACACAACGUCGUAUAAAUAGUUGUUGUAAUACUACGUAACUAACUAAAACAUUAUUAUAUUUAUAUGGUAUCCUAGAAGUCACACAAGCGAAAUAGGUUUCUAAGGCUGUAUUAUUUAUUUUUUCGUGCAUUGUUAAAAGCUACUGCUAUUUACUACAAACGGUCCAAGAUCAAGCGUUAUGAAGCUCGUGGCUUCUACUAGAGACGUAACCAAUCGCCAAGAUAAGGACAAAGCUUCGAAUUUUCAAAAAUAAGACCAGCACAGUUGCCCAUAUGUACACAAAUUAAGGUAAUAUAACAUAAUUUGUAUUGAAAAAACCCAAGCUAUUUUCAUUAUGGUUCGGCGAUUUGACUGUGACCGGCAGAGACGGCAGAGGUGGAACGUGCCGCAAACUACGAUUCAGUUAGAUUCUUGGUUUUUAGAUGAUUUAAGUGAGCGGGUGAGGAAGCUCAGUGGGAAGGGCAAGAUUCGGCCCCAGUGAACAUUUCUCAUCAAAUAGUCUCAGCUACUACUUUCAACUAUGAUUUCUUCCUGUUCUUCACAAACAGUUGAAAGAAGCAGUUGAACAGGAAUAUAGGCUUGAACAAGCGCUAACGAACGACCACAGGACGUUGUCGGUCUUCAUCGGUCCAGAACGCUGGCAGAAUUUUAGACGAGACGUAUUCUAUGUAGGGUCGAACGGGACUGUAUCAGGGGUACCAACCUCUCUGCGAUAUCCGACUGUUUCUCGAUCACUUUU